rnacentral:misc_RNA from 1 species
GCAAACUUGGUCAUUUAGAGGAAGUAAAAGUCGUAACAAGGUUUCCGUAGGUGAACCUGCGGAAGGAUCAUUACCGAGAACAUGCCCUACAGGGUAUAUCUCCCACCCUUUGUAAACAAUACCAUGUUGCUUUGGCAGGCCCGUCUUUGACCACUGGCUUUUGGCUGGUCUGUGCCUGCCAGAGGAUUUAAAAACCCUAUAUUUUUGUGUUCUGAGUUUAGUUUUCAAUAGUUAAAACUUUCAACAACGGAUCUCUUGGUUCUGGCAUCGAUGAAGAACGCAGC